UGCGCAGCGUGAAGUCGGCUUCAUCGCCCACGCGCGAGGCGCUGGGCACCACCAGGUAGUGGCCGGGCGGCAGGCGGCAGCGUCGGCUCACGUCGCGGCGGGCACAGAAAACCGAGCGGUCGGCGCGCAGCAGUCCCGACCCUCUGCUUGACCUUGGCCUCACCUGGAACACGUGGAAGCCCACAGUGAGGUAAGUGAGGCCCUUGGCCCUCAGACACCGGCGGUUGCGUUGGAUGAGUGACAGUAGGACCGUGCACUUGGGGACUCGGCCUCCUCUCGCUGGCCGUGCCCCUGCAGCUCCCCAGCCUCCCCAGGGUCCCUCUUCAUCAUCUUCAUCCUCUUCCUCAUCCGGCUCCAGCAGUGUCAGCCGGAACUGGGGAUUGGUCCAGAAGUUUUCUGAUGGAAAAGAAGGAAGGUGGUAGAGUUCCCACCCUGCCACAAGCCCCCAAGUAUGCUUCUCAGGGGUCCCCAGGCCUCACCAGCGCUGGGCUGACUCCCACCGGAGUUGAAGCCGCGCACCCAGCGGCCCUGGAAGGUGUGAAUGUGCCAGCCGCCACCAGCCGGGCUGGGGCCCAACACCUCAGGGCUCAGUGAACAAAUCUGGACCGUGUUGAAGUGCGUGAGGAAGUCCUGAAGCUCCAUCCUGAAAAACCAACCAUGAAAGGUGCCCAGGCACCCCAAAGCCAGCUUGAGGAACCUCAGAAGUGUCCCACCACCACAAAGCCCCCAGUUCCUUAAACACUGCCGAAUAACUUCCAAUCUCCAGACACCCCGAAUCCUCAGGCCUUGCCAAGGUCUCCUAAGGCCUCGCAAAUACCCCACUUCUGGAAAGAUUCACAAACACUUCUCGAUCUCUCCAAACUAACUUUAGAAACCCCUCAAAUAGGGCUGGGAAGAUGGCCAAGACAAUAAAAGCUAUUGCUCUACAAGCCUGGUAGCCCGAGGCUUUGACCUUAGUAUCCCACAGUAAAAGGAACUGACUUCUCUCACCACCGUAGUGGGCUUCAUGCACACUCAAUAGAGCAAUAUAAAACUAGGAAAAUAGUUUUAAAUUAAAUAUAUUCAAAGCCCCAAAUGUCACUAAACCUCCCCAGCUCACCCUAAAUAUGGUUCUAUUCGGGGUUGGGGAUUUAGCUCAGUGGUAGAGCGCUUGCCUAGCAAGCGCAAGGCCCUGGGUUCGGUCCCCAGCUCCGAAAAAAAGGGAAAAAAAAAGAAAAUAUGGUUCUGUUCCCAUUAAACCUCCCCAAAAAAACCACUGACUCCAAAUUCCUUUAGAUUCCCUCAUACCUGCAAUGCCAGCCUUGGGGAAGCUGAGGUCAAAAAGAGGCCGGAGCUAGCCUGGUCUACAUAGUGAGUUUUCGGCUAACCUAAUCUCAGUGUUCUCCCUCUGAAAACAAUGUCCUUUUAGUCCUGAUCUUACUGCUCCUGCCCUGACUUUGCAAAAAAAAAAAAAAGAUUCGGAUCCCCAAAUCCCAGCUGAUAGGGACCAUUGCUCUGCAACAUGUGCAACAUGACCCAUCCAUCCCAGGAGUUUCUCUGUAUCCUUUCUGGCCCCUGUGUUCUAAGGCUCCUGUCCCAGCAGACUUCCCGCAGGUAGAGUGAGUCCCUAAAAACUCACCAGAACUCGCCAUCCUCCUUUUUCACAAGCAGGGCAUCUCUCCACUCAGAGGGGAGCAUGUCCCAGCGUGGGCAGCUGAGGAAACCAAUGUGAGAGGAAGGCAUGUGGGGCCACGCCCAUGGCCACGCCCCCACCCAUCCCAAGCCCCUCCCACCUGUCGCUCCAGGGCCCGGACCACUCCACGCGGCCCCAGGGGUUCCUCAGCCGCAGCAGCCGCACCUUGGUGAAGCCCAGAGACAUCUGAAAACAAUGUCAGUAGUGAGGGUGGUGUGGAGGGAUCAUUACAGAGGGAAGGGUUAGCCUAGUCUAACUCACCUUGUGUGUGCCUGUGACAGAAUAAGCAUGUCCUUUCACAAGCCCUUCAUCUGUGCGGAUCUCACCCCGAUCACUCUGGAGGAGGCCAAGAUUGUGAGCGUCGGGUGGGCGAUACAAGCAUCUCUCCCUAGCAUCCCAAUCCAGCCUCAUGCUUCUGACCCAGGAGCUCUCCAAGCCGCAUCAAAUGCCAAGGGACUCAGGUGAACAGUUGGGGUAAAAUAAAGGAGAUGGGGGAAGCCUGGGCUCUGCAUCACAGGCCUGGGAUCCCAGCUACACAGAAGGCUGAUACGGAAAGAUCACAAGUUCAAGGCCAGUGUGGGUAACUCAGACCCUGCCUGGGAAGGAAUGUAAAAUGGAGGGGGUGGAAGGAUGUAGCUUACAUGGAGGGCUCUAGCCUAGAAUCUACCAUUGAGGAUCUGAGGGACAACAGCAGAAGGUAAGAAGGACACUGAAUACUAGGCUCCCCUCCCACCUCAUCCCCGACUACGCUGGCCUAGUGGAGGUCUACACGGGAGCUCAGCUCUCACCAGGGCAGUGGCACCCACAAGGGACUCCUUGGCCAGGGCAUGGCGAAGGGCGGCAAAGACACCUGGGGUGUUCUGUCUCAAGUAGAGGACCUCGCCCACGCCUCCCGUAAAGUCCACAAAUGCCUCGUUCAUGUGACCUCCUCGCAUUACCUCAUAGGAGCCGUGGAGCCUGUUGGAGCAGGUAGAGCUGGGGACCGAACCCAGGGCCUUGAGCUUCGUAGGCAAGCGCUCUACCACUGAGCUAAAUCCCCAACCCCCCGUGUCUAUAACUUUUAUAUGUAUGUGUUUUGCCUGCAUGUAUGUCUCUGUGCCACACGUCGUGUGCGCGGUGUCUGUGGAGGCCUCAGAACCCUGGCACUGAAGCUACACACGGUUGUGACUGGAAAUAAAACCCAGGUCUUCUGGAAGAGUGA